GCAAGUCGAGGGGCAGCAUUUUUUAUAUCUUGCUUUUUAUAUAUGGCGACCGGCGCACGGGUGUGUAACGCGUUUGCAACCUACCUUACAUUGGGGGAUUUCCCAGAGAAAUCUGGAUUAAUACCGCAUAAUAUUUUUGAAUCUCAUGGUUUAAAUAUUAAAAAUCCGGAGAUGUAAGAUGGGAAUGCGGAGGAGGAGUUAGUUGGUGAGGGAACGGAAGACAAAGACAAUGAUGCGUAGGGGGGCUGAGAGGAUAGGC
rnacentral:rRNA from 1 species